GAUGAACGCUGGCGGCGUGCUUAACACAUGCAAGUCGAACGAAGCACUUUAUUUGAUUUCCUUCGGGACUGAUUAUUUUGUGACUGAGUGGCGGACGGGUGAGUAACGCGUGGGUAACCUGCCUUGUACAGGGGGAUAACAGUUGGAAACGGCUGCUAAUACCGCAUAAGCGCACAGCAUCGCAUGAUGCAGUGUGAAAAACUCCGGUGGUAUAAGAUGGACCCGCGUUGGAUUAGCUAGUUGGUGAGGUAACGGCCCACCAAGGCGACGAUCCAUAGCCGACCUGAUAGGGUGACCGGCCACAUUGGGACUGAGACACGGCCCAAACUCCUACGGGAGGCAGCAGUGGGGAAUAUUGCACAAUGGGCGAAAGCCUGAUGCAGCGACGCCGCGUGAGCGAAGAAGUAUUUCGGUAUGUAAAGCUCUAUCAGCAGGGAAGAUAAUGACGUUACCUGACUAAGAAACACCGGCUAAAUACGU
rnacentral:rRNA from 1 species